rnacentral:rRNA from 1 species
GAUGAACGCUAGCGGCAGGCCUAACACAUGCAAGUCGAGGGGUAGCAGGAUUAAGCUUGCUUAAUUGCUGCCGACCGGCGCACGGGUGCGUAACGCGUAUGCAACCUACCUUAUACUGGGGUAUAGCCCGGAGAAAUUCGGAUUAAUCCCCCAUAGUACUAAUGAAUCGCAUGGUUUAUUAGUUAAAGCAUUGCGGUAUAAGAUGGGCAUGCGUCCUAUUAGCUAGAUGGUGAGGUAACGGCUCACCAUGGCUACGAUAGGUAGGGGGCCUGAGAGGGUGGUCCCACACACUGGUACUGAGACACGGACCAGACUCCUACGGGAGGCAGCAGUGAGGAAUAUUGGUCAAUGGGCGCAAGCCUGAACCAGCCAUGCCGCGUGCAGGAAGAAUGCCCUAUGGGUUGUAAACUGCUUUUAUUUGGGAAUAAACCUCUUUACGUGUAGAGAGCUGAAGGUACCAAAUGAAUAAGCACCGGCUAACUCCGUGCCAGCAGCCGCCGUAA